rnacentral:rRNA from 1 species
GAUGAACGCUAGCUACAGGCUUAACACAUGCAAGUCGAGGGGCAGCAUCAUCAAAGCUUGCUUUGAUGGAUGGCGACCGGCGCACGGGUGAGUAACACGUAUCCAACCUGCCGACAACACUGGGAUAGCCCUUUCGAAAGAAAGAUUAAUACCGGAUGGCAUAGUUUUCCCGCAUGGGGAUAAUUAUUAAAGAAUUUCGGUUGUCGAUGGGGAUGCGUUCCAUUAGGCAGUUGGCGGGGUAACGGCCCACAAACCAACGAUGGAUAGGGGUUCUGAGAGGAAGGUCCCCCACAUUGGAACUGAGACAC